GACGAACCGUGCAAACGUUGUUCGGAAUCACUGGGCUUAAAGGGCGCGUAGGCGGCUCAGCAAGUCGGGGGUGAAAUCUUUCGGCUCAACCGGAAAAGUGCCUUCGAUACUGCUGAGCUCGAGGAAGAUAGGGGUCACGGGAACGACCAGUGGAGCGGUGAAAUGCGUUGAGAUUGGUAGGAACGCCGGUGGCGAAGGCGGCUACCUGGCCCAACAUUGACACUGAGGCCCGAAAGCGUGGGGAUCAAACAGG
rnacentral:rRNA from 1 species